CUUCUCACCUAUAAAAAAAACCCCAAACCCUAUCCUCCCUUCUCUCACAACUCUCACUGGCUUGCUUCUAAGUUCAGUCUGAGAAAUAGAGAAAGAUCUAGAGAGAGAAAGCUUUGGUGAGUGCAAAUGGAGGGUAAGGAAGAGGAUGUUAAGCUUGGAGCUAACAAGUUCCCAGAGAGGCAGCCUAUAGGCACAUCUGCUCAAUCAGACAAAGACUACAAGGAGCCACCACCAGCUCCCUUGUUUGAGCCUGGGGAGCUAACCUCAUGGUCUUUUUACCGGGCUGGGAUUGCUGAGUUCAUAGCCACUUUCUUGUUCUUGUACAUCACCAUUUUGACUGUCAUGGGUGUGAAUAGGGCACCUACUAAGUGUGCUUCUGUGGGUAUCCAAGGAAUUGCUUGGGCCUUUGGUGGUAUGAUCUUUGCCCUUGUCUACUGCACUGCUGGUAUCUCAGGAGGACAUAUCAACCCAGCUGUGACCUUUGGCUUGUUUCUGGCAAGGAAGCUCUCCCUAACCAGGGCUGUUUUCUACAUAGUGAUGCAGUGCCUUGGUGCCAUAUGUGGUGCUGGUGUUGUCAAGGGCUUCCAGCCUUCUCAGUACCAGAUGUUGAAUGGUGGGGCCAACUUUGUGGCUCCUGGAUAUACCAAGGGUGAUGGCCUUGGUGCUGAGAUUGUUGGCACCUUUGUCCUUGUUUACACUGUCUUCUCUGCCACUGAUGCUAAGAGAAGUGCCCGUGAUUCGCAUGUCCCUGUAUGUGUUCUUUCUACUUCUCUAUUGCUUUGAUUUAGUAAUUUGUUAUGUCAAAUUUGCUUGAUCUGGUUUCUCUUGUGUUCAUGCUGUAUUUUUUGGGGUCCUGUGUAUAGUUGAAGUUAUUUGAUUUGAUUAUAUCUGGUCCUUAUUUCGUUAUUAUUUGGAUUUGAGGUCGGUACGUGUGCGUUAUGCGCUUAUCGUGUUAAUUGGUGUUUCUGCCGUGCUGUGGUCAAGUUUGAUAACUGGCAUAGGAUAUUUGGGGGUUAGAUCGGAUUCAAAAUACCAUGAGAUUGUGGUCGGAGUAUUGGAUGGCAUUAGUAAUGCUUGGGGUAGUUUAUACGGUAGUAAGUUUUUGUUGGGGUAGGGUAUAUAGCAUGGGUUUGGAAAGGUGUAUAAGUUGUAACAUGAUCUUUGGAUGAGAUGAGACUGGCUAUGCAGGGUGAAAACAAGGGGAUUGGAAUUUGGAAUUUUGGUUUAGAAGUACCAGCUCGAGGUAUUGAUAAUCCCUCCUAUAUGGGGAUUGUUAGUCAUUCCAUUGGACUAUUAGUCCACUAUUUCCUUCCAAAAUAGAUACUGUAUCAAGUAUUCUAUCAGUAUAAUAUUCCUAAUUGCAGACCCCUUUUCGGGAAUCUUUAGUGUGUGUGUGUGUGUGUGUUUUUUUUUUCUUCAUUUUUUUGAUUGGUAUCAUUAGUGAUUGAAAUCUUCUAUUUGAAUUGGGAUUAUGUAGGGCAAACUCCUUAUUGCUUGUGGCUUUGGGUGAUAUCACUCCUUAUUACUAGUGGUUCGCUCCUGCUUGCAUCUAGGUCAAUCGGAAUUCAAUUACACCUCAAAUAUUCAUAUGUACUUCACUAACACACAUAACAUAAGUUUGCAUGAAUAAUACAUGGGAAUUCUCAGGGAACUCUGAACAUUAUUCGACACGUAAGUUUUAGUAACUAAAGUAAAGUGGGUGGUCCACAUCAACCUCAAGGUAAAUGUGGGUAAAUGUGGGUCAUGCACUUGGCUUUUUGUGCAUAUUUUAUGAUAAAAGUUAUUCUGUGUAAUUUUAUUGGAGAUUGAAUGUAUGAAUCAUCAACUUGUUGAGCUCCUAUUGAAAGGCAAGGGCACUUGGUAAAAGGGUUAAUUUGUUUUAAGUAUGAGAAAUGGAAAUAGUAAACAAGCUGGUCAAUUUGCUAUACGUUGAUGAUCUAUAUUCGUGUAUACAUUUCCCAUCGGUUAGUAGAAGUUAGGAUUUUGCAUGUCGCCCUGGCGAUUAGUUCUUGUAUUCAAGUUGAGUGGAUUAUGCUCUCUCCAAAGCUAUACUUAGAAUGAGAUGAUUAAUCAUUGUGUGCAUAAAGGUUAGACCUAUGAGAUGUUUUCCCACUUGUUUCCUCUCUUUCUCUCGGUCCAUGGGUUGAAAUGGUUGUUUGACAGGAAUGUGAGUUUGUCUCUACUCUCUACCCUCAAACAUGUACUUGGAAUACUUGGUAAUUUGUGGGUCAAUCAUGUCAAUGUAUAAUGAAAAAUAAGCUGCACGACUUAUAGACAUGUUUCAAUUUGCAAUGAGUAUUAUCUUCGCCUUGGAUAUUAUGAGCAGUAAUUUGAAGUCGACAUCGAAUCCGCCCCACCAUUUUAUGAUUUAUAGUGGGCUGUUCUUUUCAAGUUUCCUAAACUGGAAUGUCAUGUUGGGAAACAUCGAAAUGGUUGGCCAUUCGACCUUAACACUUCGUAUAGCAGUGUGUAGAACUUUCUAUCGUUAACUUCUACUCAUUCUCGUAACUUAGCAGAAAGCGUAAUUGGGCAGCACCUCCCUUAUCUAUGGUUUUGAUAUUCUUUUCUCACAAUUCAAUGCAGAUUUUGGCUCCUCUUCCCAUUGGGUUUGCCGUGUUCUUGGUCCAUUUGGCAACCAUCCCCAUCACAGGAACUG